CUUUGAUACUGUUUUGCUAGAGUACGAACGGGGUAGGCGGAAUGUGCAGUGUAGCGGUGAAAUGCUUAGAUAUUGCACAGAACACCGAUUGCGAAGGCAGCUUACCAGGCCGUAACUGACGCUGAUGCACGAAAGCGUGGGGAUCAAACAGGAUUAGAUACCCUGGUAGUCCACGCCGUAAACGAUGAUCACUUGCUGUUGGCGAUACAUUGUCAGUGGCAAAGGGAAACCGAUAAGUGAUCCACCUGGGGAGUACGUUCGCAAGAAUGAAACUCAAAGGAAUUGACGGGGGCCCGCACAAGCGGAGGAACAUGUGGUUUAAUUCGAUGAUACGCGAGGAACCUUACCCGGGCUCGAACGGUGCAGGAAUACUUCAGAGAUGGAGUAGCUAGCAAUAGUCUGUAUCGAGGUGCUGCAUGGUUGUCGUCAGCUCGUGCCGUGAGGUGUCGGCUUAAGUGCCAUAACGAGCGCAACCCUUGUCGUUAGUUGCCAUCAGGUAAAGCUGGGGACUCUAGCGAGACUGCCACCGUAAGGUGUGAGGAAGGGGGGGAUGACGUCAAAUCAGCACGGCCCUUACGUCCGGGGCGACACACGUGUUACAAUGGCAGGUACAGAGGGGAGCUACCCAGCGAUGGGGUGCGAAUCUCAAAAGCCUGUCUCAGUUCGGAUUGGAGUCUGCAACUCGACUCCAUGAAGUUGGAUUCGCUAGUAAUCGCGCAUCAGCCAUGGCGCGGUGAAUACGUUCCCGGGCCUUGUACACACCGCCCGUAAGGGCG
rnacentral:rRNA from 1 species